rnacentral:rRNA from 1 species
CCCUGAUCCUGCCUGCCGCGUGAGUGAUUAAGGCCUUCUGGUUGUAAGCUCUUUUGUCCGGGACGAUAAGGACCGUGCUAAUACCUGGGGCUCCUGAUAGUUCCGUGCCAAUAAGCACCGGCUUACUACGUGCCAGCAGCCGCGGUAAUACGUCUGGUGCAUGCGUUAAUCUGAAUUACUGGGCGUAAAGCGUGCGCAAGCCGUUUUCUCAAACCGGUGUGAAAUCCCCGGGCUUAACCUGGGAAUUGCGUUUGAGACUGGUGGGCUUGAGUGUGGAAGAGGGAAAUGGAAUUCCAUGUGUAACAAUAAAAUGCGUAAAUAUGCCGAGGAACACCGAUGGCGAAGGCAAUCCCCUGGGCCUGCACUGACACUCAUGCUCAAAUACGUGGGGAGCAAACAGGAUUAAAUACCCUGGUAGUCCACGCCCUAAACUAUGUCAACUGGUUGUUGGGUAUUUUUUUACUUUGUAACCUGGCUAACUACGUGAAGUUGACCGCCUGGGGAUGAAAAUUCACAGGGUUGAAACUCAAGAAAUUUUUACGGGGUUUUAAUGGGUUGUUGGGCGGAACCUAAUGGGGAGUUGGCGGGACACUAACGGGAUUUUACCGUGAGCUUGUUGAUUGUCUG